GCCGGGUUAGCUCAGUUGGUAGAGCACUUGACUUGUAAUCAUGUGGUCGCGAGUUCGACUCUCGCACCCGGCUCCA
rnacentral:tRNA from 1 species